UAGGGCGAAAGCCUGAUCCAGCAACGCCGCGUGAGGGAUGACGGCCUUCGGGUUGUAAACCUCUUUCAGCAGGGACGAAGCGCAAGUGACGGUACCUGCAGAAGAAGCACCGGCCAACUACGUGCCAGCAGCCGCGGUAAUACGUAGGGUGCGAGCGUUGUCCGGAAUUAUUGGGCGUAAAGGGCUCGUAGGCGGUUUGUCACGUCGGGAGUGAAAACUCGGGGCUUAACCCCGAGCCUGCUUCCGAUACGGGCUGACUAGAGGUAUGCAGGGGAGAACGGAAUUCCUGGUGUAGCGGUGAAAUGCGCAGAUAUCAGGAGGAACACCGGUGGCGAAGGCGGUUCUCUGGGCAUUACCUGACGCUGAGGAGCGAAAGUGUGGGGAGCGAACAGGAUUAGAUACCCUGGUAGUCCACACCGUAAACGUUGGGCGCUAGGUGUGGGACUCAUUCCACGAGUUCCGUGCCGCAGCUAACGCAUUAAGCGCCCCGCCUGGGGAGUACGGCCGCAAGGCUA
rnacentral:rRNA from 1 species